AUGGCCAUAUCAUGUUGAAAUACUGUUUCUCAUACAAUCACUGAAGGUAAGCAAGGUCAAGCUUGGUCAGUACCUAGAUGGGUGACUGCUUGGGAAUACCAUGUGCUGUAAG